GAUGAACGCUGGCGGCGUGCCUAAUACAUGCAAGUCGAGCGAAUGGAUUAAGAGCUUGCUCUUAUGAAGUUAGCGGCGGACGGGCGAGUAACACGUGGGUAACCUGCCCAUAAGACUGGGAUAACUCCGGGAAACCGGGGCUAAUACCGGAUAACAUUUUGAACCGCAUGGUUCGAAAUUGAAAGGCGGCUUCGGCUGUCACUUAUGGAUGGACCCGCGUCGCAUUAGCUAGUUGGUGAGGUAACGGCUCACCAAGGCAACGAUGCGUAGCCGACCUGAGAGGGGGAUCGGCCAAACUGGGACUGAGACACGGCCCAGACUCCUACGGGAGGCAGCAGUAGGGAAUCUUCCGCAAUGGACGAAAGUCUGACGGAGCAACGCCGCGUGAGUGAUGAAGGCUUUCGGGUCGUAAAACUCUGUUGUUAGGGAAGAACAAGUGCUAGUUGAAUAAGCUGGCACCUUGACGGUACCUAACCAGAAAGCCACGGCUAACUACAUGCCAGCCGCCGCGGUAA
rnacentral:rRNA from 1 species